rnacentral:rRNA from 1 species
UACGAAGGGGGCUAGCGUUGCUCGGAAUCACUGGGCGUAAAGCGCACGUAGGCGGACUCUUAAGUCGGUGGUGAAAUCCUGGAGCUCAACUCCAGAACUGCCUUCGAUACUGGGAGUCUCGAGUCCGGGAGAGGUGAGUGGAACUGCGAGUGUAGAGGUGAAAUUCGUAGAUAUUCGCAAGAACACCAGUGGCGAAGGCGGCUCACUGACCCGGUACUGACGCUGAGGUGCGAAAGCGUGGGGAGCAAACAGG